CACACAGCCCACCACCAGGUCACACAGCCCACCAUGAGGCCACACUGCCCACCACCAGGUCACACAGCCUACCAGGCUCCUCACCUGGGCAAGGACUCUGAGUGAGCACCACCUGCUGGCAGGCCUGGGGCUCUGGCACCGGCAGCUCCUCCCAUUUCCUUCUUUCU